rnacentral:rRNA from 1 species
GUCUGGCUCAGGAUGAACGCUAGCUACAGGCUUAACACAUGCAAGUCGAGGGGAAACGACAGAGGAAGCUUGCUUCCUUUGGGCGUCGACCGGCGCACGGGUGAGUAACGCGUAUCCAACCUUCCCGCAAGUAAGGGAUAACCCGUAGAAAUGCGGCCUAAUACCUUAUGUUUUCCUUAGAUGGCAUCUGAUGAGGAACAAAGAUCCGUCGCUUGCGGAUGGGGAUGCGUCUGAUUAGUUAGUCGGCGGGG